UACGUAGGGUGCAGGCGUUAAUCGGAAUUACUGGGCGUAAAGCGUGCGCAGGCGGUUUCUUAAGUCAGAUGUGAAAGCCCCGGGCUUAACCUGGGAACUGCGUUUGAAACUGGGAGACUGGAGUGUGGCAGAGGAGACUGGAAUUCCUGGUGUAGCAGUGAAAUGCGUAGAUAUCAGGAGGAAUACCGAUGGCGAAGGCAGGUCUCUGGGCUGACACUGACGCUCAUGCACGAAAGCGUGGGGAGCAAACAGG
rnacentral:rRNA from 1 species